GGAGAGAGAGAGAGAGAGAUCUCGUCAGAGAAGAGUACAUAUAUUAAGAAUAAAGUGAAGUGCAUGUGACCUGACAUCUAGCAUAGAUCACUGAAGCCUAUCAUUCACAUUCCUAAGACUACGAGGAAACGAAUAAUAGAAUAUGGAUUCCACAGAACAUGUGUCCAGAUAUAUAGACGAAGAAAGAUCUAAAUAAGGGCGAGAACCGUUGGCAUCGCCUUGCCAUGACAUGUGUCCUUCCGGGGUCGUUUACCUUUUUUUUCUCAAUAAUUCGUCCCGGGAAGGGGUUUCCUAGAUCCUCAUGAAUCUACACACGAUAUCAAAGAGUUCACCUAAAGCCACGUAACUUAGAGAAAAUGGGAGAGAAAUAUGAAAUAGAAGGUCUACGAUUAGUGAGAAAUAGGAGAAAAGAGAUCGUGGGAAGAGUUUUGAAGGAUAUAUAGGGGAUCUGACGCCUCUAAGGGAAAAAUUGUAGAAAAAUGAGAGUGGGAAGAGUUUUAGUUGAUGUUAAGGCAUCUGAUGUCUCUAAGGGGAAUCAGGAGCUUUUCUACAUCAAACGGAAAUCCCGUAUCAGAGUAGGAGGCUCUGGGGAUUCCUGGUAACGGAGACGAAAGAAGAAGCUCACUCUGCGAGGGGAAUGAUUUCUUCUCCUUCUUCCCGUUGAUCUUUCUCUGGACCCAGCUUAGAAUCUGCAUGAAGAGUUAAGAGAAAGGAUGUUCAGAGCAGAAGAACAGGAAGAGAGGGAGAGAGAGGACGGGAUAGAGCAGAGGGGAGCUAUUCUACGUUGAUGUUAUAAGAGAGCUUACCCUCAUAUCGUCGCCUGCAGCUUCUUCGUCGAGACCUAAGCAGAGAAGAGUUUGGCUGGUUGGUUCUGCGUGGAAGACCGCGAGAG
rnacentral:lncRNA from 1 species